rnacentral:rRNA from 1 species
GACGAACGCUGGCGGCGUGCCUAAUACAUGCAAGUCGAACGAACCGCGACUAGGUGCUUGCACUUGGUCAAGGUGAGUGGCGAACGGGUGAGUAACACGUGGGUAACCUACCUCAUAGUGGGGGAUAACAGUCGGAAACGACUGCUAAUACCGCAUAGGACAUAGGAUCACAUGAUCCAGUGAGGAAAGGUGGCGCAAGCUAUCGCUAAGAGAUGGACCCGCGGUGCAUUAGCUAGUUGGUAGGGUAAAGGCCUACCAAGGCGAUGAUGCAUAGCCGACCUGAGAGGGUGAUCGGCCACAUUGGGACUGAGACACGGCCCAAACUCCUACGGGAGGCAGCAGUAAGGAAUCUUCCGCAAAGGACGCAAGUCUGACGGAGCAACGCCGCGUGAGUGAAGAAGGUCUUCGGAUCGUAAAGCUCUGUUGUUAGAGAAGAACAGCGCAUAGAGUAACUGUUAUGCGUGUGACGGUAUCUAACCAGAAAGCCACGGCUAACUACGUG